UGGGGAAUUUUGGACAAUGGGCGAAAGCCUGAUCCAGCAAUGCCGCGUGUGUGAAGAAGGCCUUCGGGUUGUAAAGCACUUUUGUCCGGAAAGAAAUCCUUGGCUCUAAUACAGUCGGGGGAUGACGGUACCGGAAGAAUAAGCACCGGCUAACUACGUGCCAGCAGCCGCGGUAAUACGUAGGGUGCAAGCGUUAAUCGGAAUUACUGGGCGUAAAGCGUGCGCAGGCGGUUUGCUAAGACCGAUGUGAAAUCCCGGGCUCAACCUGGGAACUGCAUUGGUGACUGGCAGGCUAGAGUAUGGCAGAGGGGGGUAGAAUUCCACGUGUAGCAGUGAAAUGCGUAGAGAUGUGGAGGAAUACCGAUGGCGAAGGCAGCCCCCUGGGCCAAUACUGACGCUCAUGCACGAAAGCGUGGGGAGCAAACAGGAUUAGAUACCCUGGUAGUCCACGCCCUAAAACGAUGUCAACUAGUUGUUGGGGAUUCAUUUCCUUAGUAACGUAGCUAACGCGUGAAGUUGACCGCCUGGGGAGUACGGUCGCAAGAUUAAAACUU
rnacentral:rRNA from 1 species